rnacentral:rRNA from 1 species
CCCGCACAAGCGGUGGAGCAUGUGGUUUAAUUCGACGCAACGCGAAGAACCUUACCAGGGCUUGACAUCCCCUGACCGCGUAUGAAAGUACGUUUUCACCCUCGGGUGACAGGGAGACAGGUGGUGCAUGGUUGUCGUCAGCUCGUGUCGUGAGAUGUUGGGUUAAGUCCCGCAACGAGCGCAACCCCUACGUUUAGUUGCUAACGCGUGAAGGCGAGCACUCUAGACGAACUGCCGUUGACAAAACGGAGGAAGGUGGGAUGACGUCAAAUCAUCAUGCCCCUUAUGUUCUGGGCUACACACGUGCUACAAUGGCCGGUACAGACGGAGGCGAAGCCGCGAGGCGGAGCAAAUCCGAAAAAGCCGGUCUCAGUUCGGAUUGCAGGCUGCAAUUCGCCUGCAUGAAGUCGGAAUCGCUAGUAAUCGCAGGUCAGCAUACUGCGGUGAAUACGUUCCCGGGUCUU